rnacentral:rRNA from 1 species
UGAGCAAUCUGCCCUUCUCAUCGGAAUAAGCGUUGGAAACGACGUCUAAUGCCGAAUACGACCUCCUUUCGCAUGAUCGGAGGUGGAAAGCUCCGGCGGAGAAGGAUGAGCUCGCGGCCUAUCAGCUAGUUGGUGUGGUAAUGGCCCACAAGGCGACGACGGGUAGCCGGCCUGAGUAGGGUCGACCGGCCACACGUGGGACUGAGACACGGCCCAGACUCCGUACGGGAGCA